CGAGCAUCAGUGAUGAGCAAAUUCAAAAUUGUUAUCCUUGCACUUUGAUUACCCGUGAAGAAGCUUAUGGGGAAUUAUUUCUGAGGUGCUC